GACGAACGCUGGCGGCGUGCCUAAUACAUGCAAGUGGGACGCAAGGAAACACACUGUGCUUGCACACCGUGUUUUCUUGAGUCGCGAACGGGUGAGUAACGCGUAGGUAACCUGCCUAUUAGCGGGGGAUAACUAUUGGAAACGAUAGCUAAUACCGCAUAAUAUUAAUUAUUGCAUGAUAAUUGAUUGAAAGAUGCAAGCGCAUCACUAGUAGAUGGACCUGCGUUGUAUUAGCUAGUUGGUAAGGUAAGAGCUUACCAAGGCGACGAUACAUAGCCGACCUGAGAGGGUGAUCGGCCACACUGGGACUGAGACACGGCCCAGACUCCUACGGGAGGCAGCAGUAGGGAAUCUUCGGCAAUGGACGAAAGUCUGACCGAGCAACGCCGCGUGAGUGAAGAAGGUUUUCGGAUCGUAAAGCUCUGUUGUAAGUCAAGAACGUGUGUGAGAGUGGAAAGUUCACACAGUGACGGUAGCUUACCUGAAAGGGACGGCUAACUACGUG
rnacentral:rRNA from 1 species